AUGCAAGAUCAGGUCGGCCUGGACCUGGACGGCUUCCCGCUCGACCACGAGUUUCCGGAGGACUAGAACCUCGAGGAAGAGGAUGAGUUGGACAUCGACGAGCCUUUGUUCGAGGAUGAGCUCGCCAACCAAGCUGCCGGGGUGAAGCUGAAGCGCAAGAGAAAACGGACGAAGGCAUACACGGCGACCGAGGACAAGCUCCUUUGUGAGUGUUGGAGGAACAUUGUGCAAGACCCCAAGGUCGACGCCGAACAAAAGGCAUCAACCUUUUGGAUUCGUGUCCACCGUGAGUUCCAUGAACACAAGAAGUUUGCGCCGUACCAAACGCAUAGCGCGCGCAGAUGGGUGUCCAUUUCGAAGCGAUGGAGGGUGAUCCAACAAGAGUGCAACAAGUUUUGUGCCACUAUCGAGAGUAUCAAGGCACGCCCCGUGAGCGGCAUCAGCAUGCAAGACAUGGUAUGCAUGCGUCCCUCUUUGUUUUCAUGUCCAUUUGCAUAUCUACUUGCCCAUAUGCUUGCAUGCUAUUCAUUUGUAGGCAUUCCAAGCUUUGGAGGCAUUUGGGGUCCAACGUGA
rnacentral:rRNA from 1 species